GCAGGCCUGUCCCUUUGCUUUCUUGUUAAAACUGCGCACCGUCUGAGGCCAAUUCGAGCCUACUGGAUCCCUGGUUCCAACCCAGUAGGAUCACAGAAGCAGGGCCAUCUGCAGGAGAAAAGGUUGUUCUUUUCUACCAAAUUUUCCUGCCAUCAAAUGCUCAUCAAGUGACAAUAGAAAAAGCACCAUAGUUCUCAAGCAUCAGAUUGGGAGAAGAGUCUGCUCUCAAGAGCAUCAACUAUGUAGAAAGGCGACCACUAAAGGACAUACUUGUGGAAGAAGAAAAUUACAAAAUGAAAGAACUGGGAUGCAAGAAGUAAUGGUGAGCAUGGAAUCUGGCAAAGAUUCAAGUAAAACAAAGCAAGGACUGAGUAUAUAAAAUCAUAAUCAUAACAAAUUUUGACUAUUACAUGUAACAGCCAAUCUCUUAACUGG
rnacentral:antisense_RNA from 1 species